rnacentral:rRNA from 1 species
GACAGAGGUGCCGAGCGUUAGGCGGAAUUACUGGGCGUAAAGGGCGCGUAGGCGGCCUUCUAAGUCGAACGUGAAAUCCCCGGGCUCAACCCGGGAACUGCGUCCGAUACUGGAAGGCUUGAAUCCGGGAGAGGGGAUGUGGAAUUCCAGGUGUAGCGGUGAAAUGCGUAGAUAUCUGGAGGAACACCGGUGGCGAAGGCGACAUCCUGGACCGGUAUUGACGCUGAGGCGCGAAAGCCAGGGGAGCAAACGGGG